rnacentral:rRNA from 1 species
GACGGAGGGUGCAAGCGUUGUUCGGAUUGACUGGGCGUAAAGGGCGUGUAGGCGGUCGGCCAAGUCUGACGUGAAAGCCCGAGGCUCAGCCUCGGAAGUGCGUCGGAAACUAGUCGGCUGGAGCGCGAUAGAGGAGGGUGGAAUUCCUGGUGUAGCGGUGAAAUGCGUAGAUAUCAGGAGGAACACCGGCGGCGAAGGCGGCCCUCUGGAUCGUUGCUGACGCUGAGACGCGAAAGCGUGGGGAGCAAACAGG